AGCAGGUGCGAAAGCAGGUCAUAGUGAUCCGGUGGUUCUGAAUGGAAGGGCCAUCGCUCAACGGAUAAAAGGUACUCCGGGGAUAACAGGCUGAUACCGCCCAAGAGUUCAUAUCGACGGCGGUGUUUGGCACCUCGAUGUCGGCUCAUCACAUCCUGGGGCUGAAGUAGGUCCCAAGGGUAUGGCUGUUCGCCAUUUAAAGUGGUACGCGAGCUGGGUUUAGAACGUCGUGAGACAGUUCGGUCCCUAUCUGCCGUGGGCGUUGGAGAAUUGAGAGGGGCUGCUCCUAGUACGAGAGGACCGGAGUGGACGCAUCACUGGUGUGCCAGUUGUCUCGCCAGAGGCACUGCUGGGUAGCUAAAUGCGGAAGAGAUAAGUGCUGAAAGCAUCUAAGCACGAAACUCGCCUUAAGAUGAGUUCUCCCACACA
rnacentral:rRNA from 1 species